AGUCUAAAACGACUCUCGGCUCUCGAAUCGAUGAAGAACGUAGCAAAAUGCGAUACUGUAUGUGAAUUGCAGAAUCCCGUGAACCAUCGAGUCUUUGAACGCAAGUUGCGCCCUAAGCCUUCUGGCCGAGGGCACGUCUGCCUGGGUGUCA
rnacentral:rRNA from 1 species